GCAGGGGUGGCGGAGUGGUCAAACGCACCUGACUGUAAAUCAGGCCUCUUACGAGUACGGGGGUUCGAGUCCCUCUCCCUGCA
rnacentral:tRNA from 1 species